AAUAAGGUUAUGAGUGAGAUGAAAUUUUAAUUAAGGUAAUUUUGUAUAGUUGAAAAAAAAAAGGGAGGUUACCGUUGGUGCGUAGCAAAAGUUGGGGGUUACCAUUGAGAAUUUCCCUAAAAUUUAUUAAUAGAAAACUAAUAACUUUUGCAGUAUAAAGGGUAACUUUAAUUACUUUUAACAUAACUUUAACUCGUUUUACAAUAAAUUAACGUACACCCGCCUUUUUAGAGAAUUUGUGUUUCGUAAGUACCCAUCACUAGAAUAAGUCACGAUAGGCAUAUAUCUUUAACAUUAAUAAAAUUAAAUAUAUUAUUUUCAUGAUAAUAUUAAUAUAAAAUAUACAUCACACAUAUAUUUUCCGAUAUCUCAUAUCUCUAAUAGAAUUACACCUUAAAAUUUCCUUUACAAGAGUACAACCCAUUUGAUAUAGAUGGUAAUUGUUAAAGGACCAUCUCAAUUAUAAUUGGUCUUUUGCUCUUAACAAUUUCUAAGGUUUAAUAAUAUUCAUUUUAAUUUCAUGACAAAGCAAGAAUGUUUUAAAUGAACCAAAAUACAAGGACGGAUAUGGAGUACAAAUGUACAAUGAGGGAAAUAAUUGUCAUUUAUAAUCCAUUAAGUUCUACAAAUUGGGAUUCACUCUCACCAAAAAAAAUAAAAUUGGGAUUCCCUUAGUCAACUUCAUCCCUCAGAAACUGUACCAGCUUGUCCAGGAUUAUCUUAGGAGGCCAGGAAUCCAAUGAUACUAUGGUUUUUAGGUUAUUUUGUAUUUUACCGCCCAUAAAAACUCACUUUUUGUAAUUAUCACCCAAAAGAAAUUUUAUUUUAAAUUACCACUCAAAGAAACAAAAAAAAUACAUUUCACCACCUUUUAACACUUUCCAUAAAAAAAAAAACUUUAAAUCUAAAGGUUUACAAAAUUUUCUUCGAUUUUCUUGCCAAAAAAACAAUAUUUUGAUGUUAUGGGGGUCAUUUUCCCCCUUUGAAUACGAUUUAAAGUCAAAAAUUUACAAAAAAAAAAAUGAUUGAAAAUGCCUCAUCUUACAUACUAAAAAAAUACCUUAAUUUGCAUGACACACGCAAAAUGAGGCAUUUUUUAUAAUUAUUUGUUAAUUUUGACUUCAAAUUGGAUACUUUGGACAAAACUAACCCCCAAAACCUCUAAAAAGCAUGUUUUAACCACGAAAAUCAAUAAAAAAAAAAAUUUAACGGUUUGGUGGUGAAAUCAAUAAGGAAUAUAUGAUGCGUUCCUCGUCUCCAACACAAAAAGGACUAGUUUCAUCUUUAAGUGUCAUAGUUCUUAUAAGUGGAUUCUCUUGUAUGGGACUCGUCAUGGAACUUUUGAUGUUAACUAUGUGGAUCGCAGUAACAGCAACAACUAACCAUGACUUACAUAGUCUCACUUUACUUCCUUGAGACCUCCAAAAGGAGAGCCUAAAUUCCCUUACUGAAGAUCUGAUGUCGCCCAAAAAUCAUCAUCUUGUUCAAAAUACAAUAAUUACUGCGAGUGUUGCUUGGAUAUUCUUGCUAGGACUACUCAUCCUUUGGCAUGUCGUUCGUCUAUUAUAUAAAUUGAUCAAGCAAAUAGUACGGUGUUGGGUUUUAGAAGUGUGGAGAACGGUUCAAUAAGGCUAAGGGGAUGCAUAGCUUUGGAAUUAUGCUAUGGAUUGUUUGUCUGGUGCGUGCAAAGCAAUAAUGAAAGAUAAGGGCUGACUUCAAAUGAGCAUAUCUUAAGGUCUAGAAUUGAUAUUGAGAUGAUUAAAGUUUGAGGUUAUAGCUCAUCUCGAUUUGGUCAAGAAUCCAGGGAGUUAUGGUCGUUUUACGAAGAGUUGUCUGUGCAGUGCGGAAGUUCGACAGAACUCUAGAAAAGUUUGGUCGAACUGUUUGAAGAAAUUGAACUGCUGCUACUGACAGCCUUGUCCGACCGAACAUUUGGUAAGUUCGACCAAUCUACCCUUAGUUCGGUCUAACAGGGGAUAGGUUCGGUCGAACCUCAUGCGUUCCCCUCACUACUAGCUUUAGGUCGUUUUCCGACAGAAUCGUUCUGACGGACCUCAAAUUCCGUUGAAAAAUUCAAAUUUUCCGAUGAAUUUGGAUCCGUCAGAAUAUCAGUCGGAAAAGGUAUUUUUCGACGUAAAAUCCCUCAGAAUUAUUCCGUCGGAAGUAUGUAUUUCCGACAAAAUUUAAUUUCGUCGGAAUAAUUAAAACAUAACCAAGCUUGUUUCAUUGUAAUUCACGAAACAGAAACAAAAAAGGGGGAAGAGUGAGAAAAAGCAAACGGGAGAAAGAUAAAGAGAAAAAGAAAGAGGAAGUGGAAGAGGACUGGCGACCACCAGAUCCGCCGCAACCACCAGCUUACACCGCCUUGAUUCCUUGGCCGCCGAUCAGUAAUUAAGUGUAGUUAAUUUUGUGAUAUUUUUUUACUUUUUUUUCGGAACCCUAACCAGAACCACUGUUUUCGCAGCCACCCCCGUUCCUCCUUCAUUGCUGCCACCUAAGCCAGCUUCUGCCGCCCUUGACGCCGCUGUGAGGCACCACCGACGCCACCUCCGAUCCAUCAAGCUACCUCCAACCUCCUCCCCGCCGUCGCCGCGAUCAGAAACACCACCUUUUCCCCCUACUGAAACUUCCGGUAAGUCCUCCUACUUUCCCCCUUUUUUUUUUAAAUUUUUAAUGAAUUAAUUUCCUCCACCGCCCUUAUUUUGCAGCUACCACCGACGCCACCUCCACCAAGCUUGUCGUGCAGCCACUGCCAAGUUUAUAUCUACCCAUAAUUUAUCAGCGGUUUUUUCCGUGCAAGCGACAUUUAUUAUCGGUUUUGAGGAUAACACUAUGGAUUUCUGUCAUGGCAACAACAUACAUGAACUCAGUAAUCAGGCUAACUUAUAAAGGAGGCGGAAUUUUGUUUGCAUUAGGGAUUUCUCUCAUAGCUUGGCUAGCGUUAAUGGGAACUAUAGUUGUUACACAUAUUGUGCGAUUCAUAUGGAAGAUUAUUAGUUGGCGAAGGAGGCAAUCAAUAAUAAGAUUUUGCAAGAUGUGUUAUCCGAGAAGGUCAAAAAACACUACAAAUGAAUCAAAUUUGAUCAACGACGUAUGAUAGUCUCAACACAAGGUGCGUCGUCUUUACAGUCAUUGGCUCGUCGCGUUCUAAUCCAGACAUGUUUGUUUCCCGGUUGUUAAAUAAUAAUGUACGAGUAGUACUUUAAUUGAUUAGAUUUCACGCACUAAGCAUCAUUUUAUUCGAUCAUGUACCAUCUUCAUCAUUAGCUUGUAUGUGAAAGUUUGUUAUUUUACAUUGUAUGUGAAAUAUAUGAGCAAACAUCAAUUAUAAUUGGCCUAUCUUCAUUUAUAAUGAGAAUGCUCUAAUCUACUACAAAAUUACUUAAGCUCGCGCGUCCAAACUAAAAUGUUAUAUUCGUCUAUUUUGUAGGAGAUUUACGUUGUCAAUGUCGUUUUGUACAAAUUCUAACACCAUGCUAUGUUAUGUUUAGUCUUUCUGAUAACAUGAAUAUAUAAUGAAAAUUAUCUAAACAUAUAAAGCUUUUCUCCUUCAAUUCACAAAAUUUAUUUUUUCAUGGUUCUUUUUUAUGAUGUCCAAAACAUGUACAUCUUGCACCUAGCAGUGACGGAUCUAGGGGGUACACAGAGGUACAGUUGUACCCCCAUUCUCAAAAAAAAAAAAAAAAAAAAAAAAAAAAAAAA